UGGUUCUGGCAUCGAUGAAGAACGCAGCGAAAUGCGAUAAGUAAUGUGAAUUGCAGAAUUCAGUGAAUCAUCGAAUCUUUGAACGCACAUUGCGCCCACUAGUAUUCUAAUGGGCAUGCCUGUUCGAGCGUCAUUUCAACCCUCAAGCCCUGGCUGCUUGGUGUUGGGCACCUGCGGGCGAGGCCCGCAGGCCCCGAAAGACAGUGGCGGGCGCGCCGCGACCCCGAGCGUAGUAGUCUACACAUCUCGCUUAGGGCGUCCGGCGCCGUCUCCAGCCGUAAAGCCUCUCCCCGGAGAACUUACAAGGUUGACCUCGGAUCAGGUAGGAAUACCCGCUGA
rnacentral:misc_RNA from 1 species